GACGGGGGGGGGCAAGUGUUCUUCGGAAUGACUGGGCGUAAAGGGCACGUAGGCGGUGAAUCGGGUUGAAAGUGAAAGUCGCCAAAAAGUGGCGGAAUGCUCUCGAAACCAAUUCACUUGAGUGAGACAGAGGAGAGUGGAAUUUCGUGUGUAGGGGUGAAAUCCGUAAAUAUACGAAGGAACGCCAAAAGCGAAGGACAGCUCUCUGGG
rnacentral:rRNA from 1 species